CCCAAGCCCUGUCAGUCUCAUUGCCAGUCUCUCUGCAGGUUGUGAGAACCCCAAGCCCUGUCGGUCUCAUUGAGAGUCUCUCUGCAGGUUGUGAGAACCCCAAGCCCUGUCAGUCUCAUUGAGAGUCUCUCUGCAGGUUGUGAGAACCCCAAGCCCUGUCAGUCUCAUUGAGAGUCUCUCUGCAGGUUGUGAGAACCCCAAGCCCUGUCAGUCUCAUUGAGAGUCUCUCUGCAGGUUGUGAGAACCCCAAGCCCUGUCAGUCUCAUUGAGAGUCUCUCUGCAGGUUGUGAGAACCCCAAGCCCUGUCAGUCUCAUUGAGAGUCUCUCUGCAGGUUGUGAGAACCCCAAGCCCUGUCAGUCUCAUUGAGAGUCUCUCUGCAGGUUGUGAGAACCCCAAGCCCUGUCAGUCUCAUUGAGAGUCUCUCUGCAGGUUGUGAGAACCCCAAGCCCUGUCAGUCUCAUUGAGAGUCUCUCUGCAGGUUGUGAGAACCCCAAGCCCUGUCAGUCUCAUUGAGAGUCUCUCUGCAGGUUGUGAGAACCCCAAGCCCUGUCAGUCUCAUUGAGAGUCUCUCUGCAGGUUGUGAGAACCCCAAGCCCUGUCAGUCUCAUUGAGAGUCUCUCUGCAGGUUGUGAGAACCCCAAGCCCUGUCGGUCUCAUUGAGAGUCUCUCUGCAGGUUGUGAGAACCCCAAGCCCUGUCAGUCUCAUUGAGAGUCUCUCUGCAGGUUGUGAGAACCCCAAGCCCUGUCAGUCUCAUUGAGAGUCUCUCUGCAGGUUGUGAGAACCCCAAGCCCUGUCAGUCUCAUUGAGAGUCUCUCUGCAGGUUGUGAGAACCCCAAGCCCUGUCAGUCUCAUUGAGAGUCUCUCUGCAGGUUGUGAGAACCCCAAGCCCUGUCAGUCUCAUUGAGAGUCUCUCUGCAGGUUGUGAGAACCCCAAGCCCUGUCAGUCUCAUUGAGAGUCUCUCUGCAGGUUGUGAGAACCCCAAGCCCUGUCGGUCUCAUUGAGAGUCUCUCUGCAGGUUGUGAGAACCCCAAGCCCUGUCAGUCUCAUUGAGAGUCUCUCUGCAGGUUGUGAGAACCCCAAGCCCUGUCAGUCUCAUUGAGAGUCUCUCUGCAGGUUGUGAGAACCCCAAGCCCUGUCAGUCUCAUUGAGAGUCUCUCUGCAGGUUGUGAGAACCCCAAGCCCUGUCAGUCUCAUUGAGAGUCUCUCUGCAGGUUGUGAGAACCCCAAGCCCUGUCAGUCUCAUUGAGAGUCUCUCUGCAGGUUGUGAGAACCCCAAGCCCUGUCAGUCUCAUUGAGAGUCUCUCUGCAGGUUGUGAGAACCCCAAGCCCUGUCAGUCUCAUUGAGAGUCUCUCUGCAGGUUGUGAGAACCCCAAGCCCUGUCAGUCUCAUUGAGAGUCUCUCUGCAGGUUGUGAGAACCCCAAGCCCUGUCAGUCUCAUUGAGAGUCUCUCUGCAGGUUGUGAGAACCCCAAGCCCUGUCAGUCUCAUUGAGAGUCUCUCUGCAGGUUGUGAGAACCCCAAGCCCUGUCAGUCUCAUUGAGAGUCUCUCUGCAGGUUGUGAGAACCCCAAGCCCUGUCAGUCUCAUUGAGAGUCUCUCUGCAGGUUGUGAGAACCCCAAGCCCUGUCAGUCUCAUUGAGAGUCUCUCUGCAGGUUGUGAGAACCCCAAGCCCUGUCAGUCUCAUUGAGAGUCUCUCUGCAGGUUGUGAGAACCCCAAGCCCUGUCAGUCUCAUUGAGAGUCUCUCUGCAGGUUGUGAGAACCCCAAGCCCUGUCAGUCUCAUUGAGAGUCUCUCUGCAGGUUGUGAGAACCCCAAGCCCUGUCAGUCUCAUUGAGAGUCUCUCUGCAGGUUGUGAGAACCCCAAGCCCUGUCAGUCUCAUUGAGAGUCUCUCUGCAGGUUGUGAGAACCCCAAGCCCUGUCAGUCUCAUUGAGAGUCUCUCUGCAGGUUGUGAGAACCCCAAGCCCUGUCAGUCUCAUUGAGAGUCUCUCUGCAGGUUGUGAGAACCCCAAGCCCUGUCAGUCUCAUUGAGAGUCUCUCUGCAGGUUGUGAGAACCCCAAGCCCUGUCAGUCUCAUUGAGAGUCUCUCUGCAGGUUGUGAGAACCCCAAGCCCUGUCAGUCUCAUUGAGAGUCUCUCUGCAGGUUGUGAGAACCCCAAGCCCUGUCAGUCUCAUUGAGAGUCUCUCUGCAGGUUGUGAGAACCCCAAGCCCUGUCAGUCUCAUUGCGAGUCUCUCUGCCAGUUGUGAGAACCCCAAGCCCUGUCAGUCUCAUUGAGAGUCUAUCUGCAGGUUGUGAGAACCCCAAGACCUGUCGGUCUCAGCUCACCGUGUUGGAGUACGGAGAUUAUGAUGGAGACCCUGUUACCAAGGUGAUGCUGCAGCCUCUCACAGGUCGUACCCACCAACUGAGGGUUCACUGUGAGGCGGUAGGGCACCCCAUCGUAGGAGACCACACCUACAGCCUGGGAGAGGACAGCGCCCCCUAUCGCAUGAUGCUGCACGCACACCUCCUACACCUCCCUCUGGAGCCACUCUCCCUGCAGGCCGCCGCCCCCGACCCCUUCACCACGCCCACUGACCCCCGCUGGCGCCCGCAGCGCUGCCUCCGGACUGUAGAGGGAGUCGUGGAGACCCUGCUGGAGCGCAGGGCGGCGGAGGAGAGGACAGAGCGGGAGGAGAGGAGGAGGCAGCAGGAGGAGAGGAGGAGGCAGCAGGAGGAGAGGAGGAAGAGGUGGAGGGGGAGAGAGGAGAGUGAGGAGCAGAGGAGGAUGUGUCAGCAGUGGUUGUCUGAGUGGACUGAUGUCUGAAUUCUCCUUCUCCUCUUCAUCCUCAUUCCUUCUCCUCUUCAUCCUCAUCCCUUCUCCUCUUCAUCCCCAUCCCUUCUCCUCUCUUCAUCCUCCAUCCCUUCUCCUCUUCAUCCCAAUCCCUUCUCCUCUCUUCAUCCUCAUCCCUUCUCCUCUCUUCAUCCUCAUUCCUUCUCCUCUUCAUCCUCAUCCCUUCUCCUCUCUUCAUCCUCAUCCCUUCUCCUCUUCAUCCUCCAUCCCUUCUCCUUCUCCUCUCUUCAUCCUCAUCCCUUCUCCUCUCUUCAUCCUCAUUCCUUCUCCUCUCUUCAUCCUCAUCCCUUCUCCUUCUCCUGUCUUCAUCCCCAUCCCUUCUCCUUCAUCACCCCCUUCCUCUGUUAACCUCUCCUGGAGACUCUGCAACCAAAAGCAUAUUUUACUAUUUGAUCUGCUUG